rnacentral:tRNA from 1 species
GCCUCUGUAGCUCAGUGACAGAGCGCUGGUCUUGUAAGCCAGGGAACGUGGGUUCAAUCCUCACAGGAGGCA